rnacentral:rRNA from 1 species
UACGGGAGGCAGCAGUGGGGAAUAUUGCACAAUGGGCGCAAGCCUGAUGCAGCCAUGCCGCGUGUAUGAAGAAGGCCUUCGGGUUGUAAAGUACUUUCAGUCGUGAGGAAGGUGUUAAGGUUAAUAACCUUAGCAAUUGACGUUAGCGACAGAAGAAGCACCGGCUAACUCCGUGCCAGCAGCCGCGGUAAUACGGAGGGUGCGAGCGUUAAUCGGAAUUACUGGGCGUAAAGGGCACGCAGGCGGUUAAUUAAGUUGGAUGUGAAAUCCCCGGGCUUAACCUGGGAAUGGCAUUCAAGCUGGUUAGCUAGAGUCUUGUAGAGGGGGUAGAAUUCCAUGUGUAGCGGUGAAAUGCGUAGAGAUGUGGAGGAAUACCGGUGGCGAAGGCGGCCCCUGGGACAAAGACUGACGCUCAUGUGCGAAAGCGUGGGGAGCAAAC